rnacentral:tRNA from 1 species
ACCGUGCGGGUGCAGAUAAAAGCUUCUAACUUCAUAUCUGAAAGGCUCAUCUCCUUUCACGGUUUU